GUCUAUGCAUCCCAGGAUUUCCAGAACAAAAACUAAAUUGAAAAAUAAAAUAUAUUAGCUGAACCUGUUAUUAUGACAUAUUUAAGCAAGACAUGGUGACCUCCAAAAUUGGAGAUCAUUAAAGACCAAAGUAAUAGCAUGUAGGCAUUAUUUCUCAAAUUGAAGUAUAAAAAACAUGUAAAACAAAUAAAUUUAAUUGCAUGCUAAGGUAAGAAAAUAUCGAUAAAAUUAUUAUUUUAUCUUAUUUUAUAAUUCUAAACAGAUUAUUCAUGUAGUGAAAAUAAAAGACAAUUUUUAUUCUAAUUUUAACUCAGAAAUUAUUAGGCUUCUUUAACAAUUUUGCUGAAAGGCUAAAGAGAUAAGGAGGACAGAUUGUAAUUACCUAACACUGCUGUGGUAACUUAGAAAUACCUGUUAGUCACCAGAACUCAAAAAAGUAACCAGCACUGCAACUAAGAAUGGAUCAUACAAGAGAAACUAGUACCAAGUUACCUUAUAUUAUUUGCUGUUAAAAUGACAUUUUAAAACAACACCAAAAAUUAAGUUGGGGCUAAAACAUUUGUGCAGAAAAGAUUUCAUAUAGCAGGCAAAAAGACUGACAUCCUUAGAAAGGCCCACAUACAAGGCUGGCCCCUUGGCGGGUGUUUAGGAAAUUGAAAUUGAGAGGGUUCCACCGUUCCCUGAGAAGAAUGGCUCACUGUGUCUAAAGUGUUUAUAGAAACAAAGUGGUUACUCUGAACAGGUGCUUUGCUUCUGGGAGUCUGGAAUUUGGGUACAUAUGAGGGAGAAUAACGUCCAUUUAAAAAACUUGGGUACUGAGUCUCUAAUGAGAUUCUGGUACAGGUAGACAUCACUGCACAAGUGUUGCCAAAAUAUGGGGCUGGGAGAAUUAAGCAGAUCCUGGGAACUCCACAGGAGAGAACUCCUGGAAACUUGUGCCCUGGUUUCCUCCAGACUUGACCACAUGCACCUUUUGCCUCUAAUUUUGCCUGUACCCUUUCAUUGUAAUAAACUAAAGAUCUGAAGCAAGGUGACAAAGGAA